rnacentral:rRNA from 1 species
UGGGGAAUAUUGCACAAUGGAGGGAACUCUGAUGCAGCGACGCCGCGUGAACGAAGAAGGCUUUGGAGUCGUAAAGUUCUUUUAUAUGGGAAGAUAAUGACGGUACCAUAAGAAAAAGCCCCGGCUAACUACGUGCCAGCAGCCGCGGUAAUACGUAGGGGGCUAGCGUUGUCCGGAAUCACUGGGCGUAAAGGGUUCGCAGGCGGAAAUGCAAGUCAGGUGUAAAAGGCAGUAGCUUAACUACUGUAAGCAUUUGAAACUGCAUAUCUUGAGAAGAGUAGAGGUAAGUGGAAUUUUUAGUGUAGCGGUGAAAUGCGUAGAUAUUAAAAAGAAUACCGGUGGCGAAGGCGACUUACUGGGCUCAUUCUGACGCUGAGGAACGAAAGCGUGGGUAGCAAACAGG